rnacentral:rRNA from 1 species
GAGUUUGAUCAUGGCUCAGAUUGAACGCUGGCGGCAUGCCUUACACAUGCAAGUCGAACGGCAGCGGGGACUUCGGUCCGCCGGCGAGUGGCGAACGGGUGAGUAAAGUAUCGGAACGUACCUUUCAGUGGGGGAUAACGUAGCGAAAGUUACGCUAAUACCGCAUAUUCUGUGAGCAGGAAAGCAGGGGAUCGCAAGACCUUGCGCUGAUUGAGCGGCCGAUAUCAGAUUAGCUAGUUGGUGGGGUAAAGGCCUACCAAGGCGACGAUCUGUAGCGGGUCUGAGAGGAUGAUCCGCCACACUGGAACUGAGACACGGUCCAGACUCCUACGGGAGGCAGCAGUGGGGAAUUUUGGACAAUGGGGGCAACCCUGAUCCAGCCAUGCCGCGUGAGUGAAGAAGGCCUUCGGGUUGUAAAGCUCUUUCGGCCGGGAAGAAAUCGCACAGGCUAAUACCCUGUGUGGAUGACGGUACCGGAAUAAGAAGCACCGGCUAACUACGUGCCAGCAGCCGCGGUA